rnacentral:rRNA from 1 species
UGCCAGCAGCCGCGGUAACACGUAGGCACCAAGCGUUAUCCGGAUUUAUUGGGUUUAAAGGGUGCGCAGGCGGGACGAUAAGUCAGUGGUGAAAUCCUACAGCUUAACUGUAGAACUGCCAUUGAUACUGUUGUUCUUGAGUACAGUUGAGGUAGGCGGAAUGUGUCAUGUAGCGGUGAAAUGCUUAGAUAUGACACAGAACACCGAUUGCGAAGGCAGCUUACUAAACUGUUACUGACGCUGAGGCACGAAAGCGUGGGGAGCGAACAGGAUUAGAUA